rnacentral:tRNA from 1 species
GGAGGUGUGGUUCAGUGGUUGAGAGCUUACCUAGCAUGCAAAAUCCUCUGGGUUCGAUUCCCAGCACUGCCU